AUUGAACGCUGGCGGCAUGCCUUACACAUGCAAGUCGAACGGUAACAGGUCUUCGGAUGCUGACGAGUGGCGAACGGGUGAGUAAUACAUCGGAACGUGCCCGAUCGUGGGGGAUAACGAAGCGAAAGCUUUGCUAAUACCGCAUAAGAUCGAUGGAUGAAAGCAGGGGACCGCAAGGCCUUGAGCGAACGGAGCGGUCGAUGGCAGAUUAGGUAGUUGGUGGGAUAAAAGCUUACCAAGACGACGAUCUGUAGCUGGUCUGAGAGGACGACCAGCCACACUGGGACUGAGACACGGCCCAGACUCCUACGGGAGGCAGCAGUGGGGAAUUUUGGACAAUGGGCGCAAGCCUGAUCCAGCCAUGCCGCGUGCAGGAUGAAGGCCUUCGGGUUGUAAACUGCUUUUGUACGGAACGAAAAGACUCUGGUUAAUACCUGGGGUCCAUGACGGUACCGUAAGAAUAAGCACCGGCUAACUACGUGCCAGCCGCCGCCGUAACAC
rnacentral:rRNA from 1 species